AGGACGAACGCUGGCGGCGUGCUUAACACAUGCAAGUCGAGCGGAAAGGCCCUUCGGGGUACUCGAGCGGCGAACGGGUGAGUAACACGUGGGCAACCUGCCCCUAGCUCUGGGAUAACUCCGGGAAACCGGUGCUAAAUACCGGAUAUGACCUCAAAUGGCAUCCUUUGAGGUGGAAAGAUUUAUUGGCUAGGGAUGGGCCCGCGGCCUAUCAGCUUGUUGGUGGGGUAAUGGCCUACCAAGGCGACGACGGGUA
rnacentral:rRNA from 1 species